rnacentral:tRNA from 2 species
GCCCGCGUGGGGUAGCCUGGAUAUCCUGAGAGAUUGCGGAUCUCUUGACCCGGAUUCGAAUUCCGGCGCGGGCACCA